rnacentral:rRNA from 1 species
CCUACGGGGGGCAGCAGUAGGGAAUAUUGCUCAAUGGGGGAAACCCUGAAGCAGCAACGCCGCGUGGAGGAUGAAGGUUUUAGGAUUGUAAACUCCUUUUGUUAGAGAAGAUAAUGACGGUAUCUAACGAAUAAGCACCGGCUAACUCCGUGCCAGCAGCCGCGGUAAUACGGAGGGUGCAAGCGUUACUCGGAAUCACUGGGCGUAAAGAGCGCGUAGGCGGGAUAGCAAGUCAGAUGUGAAAUCCUAGGGCUUAACCAUAGAACUGCAUUUGAAACUGUUAUUCUAGAGUAUGGGAGAGGUAGGUGGAAUUCUUGGUGUAGGGGUAAAAUCCGUAGAGAUCAAGAGGAAUACUCAUUGCGAAGGCGACCUGCUAGAACAUAACUGACGCUGAUGCGCGAAAGCGUGGGGAGCAAACAGGAUUAGAUACCCCGGUAGUC